UACGUAGGGGGCAAGCGUUGUCCGGACUUACUGGGCGUAAAGCGCGUGCAGGCGGAUGAGUAUGUGCCGUGUGAAAGCUCUCGGCUUGCCCGGGAGAGGUCGCGGUAGACAGCCCAUCUGGAGGCUCGGAGAGGUCAGUGGAAUUCCUGGUGUAGCGGUGAAAUGCGCAGAUAUCAGGAAGAACACCAAUGGCGAAAGCAGCUCUCUGGGACGGUACUGACGCUGAGACGCGAAAGCGUGGGGAGCGAACAGG
rnacentral:rRNA from 1 species